AUUGAACGCUGGCGGCAGGCCUAACACAUGCAAGUCGAGCGGAUGAAGGGAGCUUGCUCCUGGAUUCAGCGGCGGACGGGUGAGUAAUGCCUAUGAAUCUGCCUGGUAGUGGGGGAUAACGUCCUGAAACGGGCGCUAAUACCGCAUACGUCCUGAGGGAGAAAGUGGGGGAUCUUCGGACCUCACGCUAUCAGAUGAGCCUAGGUCGGAUUAGCUAGUUGGUGGGGUAAAGGCCUACCAAGGCGACGAUCCGUAACUGGUCUGAGAGGAUGAUCAGUCACACUGGAACUGAGACACGGUCCAGACUACUACGGGAGGCAGCAGUGGGGAAUAUUGGACAAUGGGCGAAAGCCUGAUCCAGCCAUGCCGAGUGUGUGAAGAAGGUCUUCGGAUUGUAAAGCACUUUAAGUUGGGAGGAAGGGCAGUAAGUUAAUACCUUGCUGUUUUGACGUUAACAACAGAAUAAGCACCGGCUAACUUCGUG
rnacentral:rRNA from 1 species